rnacentral:rRNA from 1 species
UACGAAGGGGGCUAGCGUUGCUCGGAAUCACUGGGCGUAAAGGGUGCGUAGGCGGGUUAUUAAGUCAGAGGUGAAAUCCUGGAGCUCAACUCCAGAACUGCCUUUGAUACUGAUAGUCUUGAGUAUGGGAGAGGUGAGUGGAACUGCGAGUGUAGAGGUGAAAUUCGUAGAUAUUCGCAAGAACACCAGUGGCGAAGGCGGCUCAAUGGCCCAUUACUGACGCUGAGGCACGAAAGCGUGGGGAGCAAACAGG